rnacentral:snRNA from 1 species
AUACUUACCUGGCAGGGGAGACACCAUGAUCAAGUAGGUGGUUCACCCAUUGCGAGGCUCGGCCAUUGCAUCUCCCGGCCUGCUGGACCAGUGUGAAUUCCCCAAAUGUGGGAAUCUCAACUGAUAAUUUUAUGGUAGUGGGGGACUGCGUUUCGCGCUCUCCCCUG